CGCAUGCGCGGCGUCGUCUCCGGAGCACGCGGCGUCGCCGCGGAGUGACGUCAUCACGCUGCGACCCGAGGAGGCGGCCGGGCGGCAGCGGGGCGGGGCGGCCCCGGGGCUCCGAGCGCCGCCUCAGCUUCUGCGACCCACCUUUUCCCCACUUAGAAUCGUGCAGAAGGAUCUGG
rnacentral:lncRNA from 7 species